GCUCCUGUGGCGCAGUAGGUAGCGCAUUGUGCUUAUACUAAAAGGUAUACCAGAGUCACGCAGUGGUCGCGAGUUCGAUCCUCGCCAGGAGCA